AAAACCCCAAAAGCUCUCAAAGCCCUAGAAGAUGCAAAAACAAUAGAAAAAGAAAAAGUGAUGAAUCGAGAAAAAGAAAGAAAAAUAAAAAUCAAAUACUCGAUGAUUUCAAAGAAAGAAGCACAGAAAGGGUAAUCGGUAAAAAUUCAAGAAAUAAGAAAAUAAAACCGAGGAAAUAAAAGAAGCCAACACAGGAUGUAACAUCGACUCUGAGCCAAAAGCCCCUUGUUGUACUUUUUUUUGUGAAUCCAUACCCUAACCC
rnacentral:lncRNA from 1 species